AUUGAACGCUGGCGGCAUGCUUUACACAUGCAAGUCGAACGGCAGCGCGGGCUUCGGCCUGGCGGCGAGUGGCGAACGGGUGAGUAAUGCAUCGGAACGUGCCCAGUAGUGGGGGAUAGCCCGGCGAAAGCCGGAUUAAUACCGCAUACGACCUGAUGGUGCAAGCGGGGGAGCGAAAGGCCUCGCGCUAUUGGAGGGGCGGAGGUCGGAUUAGCUAGUUGGUGGGGUGAAGGGUUACCAAGGCGACGAUCCGUAGGUGGUCUGAGAGGAGGACCAGCCACACUGGGACUGAGACACGGCCCAGACUCCUACGGGAGGCAGCAGUGGGGAAUUUUGGACAAUGGGGGCAACCCCGAUCCAGCCAUGCCGCGUGCGGGAAGAAGGCCUUCGGGUUGUAAACCGCUUUUGUUCGGGAAGAAAUCCUCUGGGCUAAUACCCCGGGGGGAUGACGGUACCGGAAGAAUAAGCACCGGCUAACUACGUG
rnacentral:rRNA from 1 species